UUUUCCCCCUCAUGCAGCGGGAUCCCGGGCCGCGCCGGGCGCUGGGCACCUCCUGAACGGCCUGCUCGCUUCCCGCUGCCGACCAAUUGCACACCCUCCCUUCCAACACCUAGCCGACCUCAGGAAGGAAGAGACUUUUGGCUCAAGUUCAAGAUAUUUAGAGAAAACCUCACAUCAGUAUACAGACAGUGAGAAUCAGCCAAUCGCCGACAGCCUCACUACAGUGGCUCUGCUUCUGAAAGUCAGCCGGUCAACAGCUUCUCCCCGUAACUCAGUUUCUGAAAGUUAGUAAAUCAAUCGCGGGCCCCAGGCUUCUGAAAGUGAGCCAAUCAUUGGCAGCUCCACGCGGGCACCAGCCAAUCAGCAAGUGCCUCACUCCAGGGACCAGGCUUCUGAAAGUUCGCCGGUCCUCACGGUGACCUGACAACAGUGACCACGCUAACAGAGCCUCAAGUCGGCCCGUCGCUGGACUCUCCCGAUUCUGAACCCGCCAAUUCCUGAACGCUAGGCUUCCCCAAGCCCAUAAGAUCAGUUCUGGUUUUGUUUAGGGAGAUGGUGCCUUACAAGUACAGCUUUCUUUUGCUGACCGACGAGAAAUUAAUCUUCUUUUUUUUCUUUUAAUCAUACUGAGUUCAAUAUUCCCCCACCUUGUCAAGUCCUAGGUUCGUAACCCUUCCAAGAUUCAAUUCUCGCCGUUAUGAGUUUGGACUAGUGACAAGCGCAAUGUCAAAGCCAUGAGAUUUUUAAAAGACAACUUUUUCAAUUCUUGUGACA